rnacentral:lncRNA from 1 species
AACUGAAAAGACAUUCGCCAUUAUUUAGAUCUAAAAACAUAGAUAUUACUCUCUUCCUUAUUGGUCAACAUUUUGAGAAGACACUUAUUUUACUCAUACACCGUACUUCAUGCGGGAAAAAAAUUUAAAUUUUAAGCUUUCUUCAUGAUCUCUUCAACGAGCUAAUAACCACGGACUUACACAUGUACAAAUAACAGCUCAUCCGAUUGAGUACUUGAAAUUGGUACAUCACAACUCCAAAAAUUAAUCAUAGUAUAAGUUACAUAGUACUCUGUGCGAAAAGUUCAUAAAAUAAUAUAUAAAACAACAACCCAGAUAUAAUCUCACUUAGUGGGGUCUGGGGAGAGUAGUGUGUACGCAGACCUUACCCCUACCCUUGAGUAGAGAGGCUGUUUCCAAAUAGACCCUCGACAUCCUUCCC